AUGGAGCUCCGGACAUUCAUAUUGUUUACUUCUACGGUCUUCGUCGCUCGCGUGGCAAGCGUCGUCGAGCGAGGCGCCGCGCCCGAGGCGAGGUCCAUGGAAGAAGACAAUAUGCUUGUCGUGCUCCAU